rnacentral:sRNA from 1 species
UAGUUUCGAAAGUUUUGAGAAAAAUGACCAAAAUACCUCUGUGUAGUUGAAAUUUCUCUUUGACUAUUUUUGAACUGAAAUUGGUUCAUAUCACUUUAAAACAUGAUUUUAGUAACUAAUACUCACAGGGGAAGCGAGAAAACUGAUGUUAAGCCUUGCGAGGUUUCGAUUGGCAUUUUGGGUAAUGAAUGUCUAUCGGGACAUCGUGACAAUUGUCACAAGCUCGAGGGGUGUUUCGGGUCGUGACAAUUAAGAUUCGUGCAAUCCAACUUACAAGGGGAAAUGGAGUUAAACUAACUCGUUGGCAAGCUAGAGGGAGAUUGGCGGCUAAGCACCAAAGCUUGGCUGGAAGUAUAUUCAAUUUGUCAUUGGAUGGUGGUAAGCAAGGACGGUGGCACUAAUCACACUUGUGACUCAUGCCUAUGGUGCUUUGAUGCCAUCCCUAGAGAUUCUAGGUGAUGCUAAUCGUUGAGAGAUUACUCCUGUCAAUGACUUUGAUUCUUUGGCUGUUGCUUCAGCACUGUGCAUGAUUUGUUCUCUUCCUAUUGCUUUGGCAAGCACGUGAUCUAUUCUCCACUAGUGGUUUUGCCUUGAGCAUGAUUUGAUUCUCCGUCGGUUGGCCAUCAAGUGUGAUUCGAUUGUGUCCAAGGGAGGAACACUCAUUGAUUUGAUUUGUAUAUGACAUGAGAUAGCCAUGGAAAGGCUUAGAUAAAUAUUAAAUGAACCUAAUGUGAUGCUUCGGCAACUAGAGUGUGCCAUGGAGAAUGAUUUGAAUAACUUUGACUGGCUUCGAGAGUAAGCCUAACGAUGUGUGAUAAUCUUUGGAGACAUUGAGGAUGAUGAUAUGCCUUCACAUUGGAGACUUCAGAGAUAAUGAUAUGCCUUGUAUUUGAAGAUGUUUGCUAGAACAUCUAGAUGCAUAGACAGUGUAUAUAUUUUAUAUAUGUAUUUAAUAUAUAUGAUUUUGUCUAUCUGCUCCACUCACUGAGUAUUGUAGUACUCACCCAAUUGUAGGUCAUGUGCAGAUAAAUAGAAUACAGAGCUAUGUGGUAAAGGUCAUUCAGUGGCAGACCGAUUUUGGCAUCCGGUAGGUUCCCAUUUGCUAUGUCACUCCACUGCGUCAGUCAUGAGCUUUCGCUCCACACUUAGUUUGUUGUGUAUGUAAGCACGUUGUGCCAUAUGAAUUUAUGUGUAAAGGUUGUUAUAUACGAACUAACGUAUGGCCCUAUAAACAUUUAUAUGAAUUAUGUGCCAAGGAUAAUGUAUUAUAUUUGGUUUUAUUAUGAAUAUUUGAUUAUUGAAUCCUUUGGCUUUGUGUUA